AGGACAGGAGCUGGAAAGAGCUCCUUGAUCAAUGCGAUUGUGAAUGAAAAACAUCUUCUACCAUCUGGGGGGUUUCAAGCCUGCACUUCCGUCAUCGUGUACGUAGAGGCCAACACUAAGUCUGACAAAUACAGAGCAGACAUUGAUUUAAUGAGCAAACAGGAGUGGGAUGCGGAGCUACGCUUCCUGCUGGAAACACUCUCUAAUGAUCAGGAGGACAGAACUGAUGCUGACACUGAGUACGAUGAUGACGCUGAUGAGAUGCGAGACAUGGCUAAAGAAAAAAUCAAGUCACUUUACGGAGAGGAUGGACUUGAAAAAGGUUAUGAUGAAUUGGUGGGAAACAAGAAAGUCUCAGAUAUUCUGAAAAACUGCAGCAUUUCUUUGACUUACGACACAGCUGAAGAGCUGUCGGACGAA